rnacentral:tRNA from 3 species
GCGAACUUGGCGGAAUGGUAGACGCAGGAGACUUAAAAUCUCCAGCCUGUAAUAGGCGUGCGGGUUCGAGUCCCGCAGUUCGCACCA